CGGUAGCAGGAAGUGCUUGCACUUCGCUGACGAGUGGCGGACGGGUGAGUAAUACUUAGGAACAUGCCUUUGUGUGGGGGAUAACCAUUGGAAACGAUGGCUAAUACCGCAUAAUGUCUUUGGACCAAAGAGGGCUUUCGGGCUCUCGCGCAAAGAGUGGCCUAAGUGAGAUUAGCUUGUUGGUGAGGUAAAGGCUCACCAAGGCGACGAUCUCUAGCUGUUCUGAGAGGAAGAUCAGCCACACUGGGACUGAGACACGGCCCAGACUCCUACGGGAGGCAGCAGUGGGGAAUAUUGCACAAUGGGGGCAACCCUGAUGCAGCCAUGCCGCGUGUGUGAAGAAGGCCUUCGGGUUGUAAAGCACUUUCAGUUGUGAGGAAAGGUUGAUGGUUAAUACCCAUCAGCUGUGACGUUAGCAACAGAAGAAGCACCGGCUAACUCCGUGCCAGCAGCCGCGGUAAUACGGAGGGUGCGAGCGUUAAUCGGAAUUACUGGGCGUAAAGCGCACGCAGGCGGUUAUAUAAGCUAGAUGUGAAAGCCCCGGGCUCAACCUGGGAAUAGCAUUUAGAACUGUAUGACUAGAGUCUUGGAGAGGGGAGUGGAAUUCCAGGUGUA
rnacentral:rRNA from 1 species